rnacentral:ncRNA from 1 species
AACCAGGACUUUUACCUUGAGAAAAUUAGAGUGUUCAAAGCAGGCCUAUGCCCGAAUACAUUAGCAUGGAAUAAUAAAAUAGGACGUGCGGUUCUAUUUUGUUGGUUUCUAGAGUCGCCGUAAUGAUUAAUAGGGAUAGUUGGG